UGAGACAAUGACAUCACAAUAGGCUUAUUAGAAUAAAAGGGAAAUAUUGAGGCAUCCAAGAACACAGUUAAACAGAGUUCAGCUAUGACAAUCAACGUUCAGGAUUGAAUUAUAAAGAAGCAGGGAUGGGGAAGAAAAAUAAACGAUCGAGUAAACAUGAAGGGGACACAUCAUUUUUCAAGGAACAUUUGAGCCUAGGUUCAUCCAGAAGGGGUGACACUUCUUUUAAAACCUCAAAAAAGGGCCUAUCCAGCCCAAGGCCAGGUUUCUAACUGGAGGGGCGACUAUUAGGACAAAAGAAGUCCAGUCUGAAGCUCUCAUUGGAAAAAGAUCUAACUAUAAAAAAUGCUGCCACUUCUGCUGAUGAUGAUAGAUAAAAUUUACCAUGCGCCAAUCACUAUUCCAAGCACUUUACCCA
rnacentral:lncRNA from 10 species